GAUGAACGCUGGCGGCGUGCUUAACACAUGCAAGUCGAGCGAAGCACUUUGGAAAGAUUCUUCGGAUGAUUUCCUUUGCGACUGAGCGGCGGACGGGUGAGUAACGCGUGGGUAACCUGCCUCAUACAGGGGGAUAACAGUUAGAAAUGACUGCUAAUACCGCAUAAGACCACGGUACCGCAUGGUACAGUGGUAAAAACUCCGGUGGUAUGAGAUGGACCCGCGUCUGAUUAGGUAGUUGGUGGGGUAACGGCCUACCAAGCCGACGAUCAGUAGCCGACCUGAGAGGGUGACCGGCCACAUUGGGACUGAGACACGGCCCAGACUCCUACGGGAGGCAGCAGUGGGGAAUAUUGCACAAUGGAGGAAACUCUGAUGCAGCGACGCCGCGUGAAGGAUGAAGUAUUUCGGUAUGUAAAGCUCUAUCAGCAGGGAAGAUAAUGACGG
rnacentral:rRNA from 1 species